UUAGAAUAAAAAAUAAAAUUAAUUUAUAUAAAAUAAACAACAUAAAUGUUUCAGUGUUUCUGUUUGUAGUUCAGUCUGGCGUUCUGAAAUGUUGUUCAUUUCUAUGAUCUGUGUGCAUGAGUGAUUUUGUAGCCACUGAUGAACUCAGGCUGUCACUGCCUUUUGCUCUGGGAGCUUCCAUGUGGACCGAGAGAAGAGGAGGAGGAGGAGAGAGGGAGGAAAACAGACAGCAACACAGAAGAGACAAGGAGGGCAGGAGGAGGGAAAGUAACUGAUGGAGAGAGGAGAGAGAGAGAGAGAGAGAGAGAGAGAGAGAGAGAGAGAGAGAGAUGGAGUGAGCAGCUCUGAGCAGCACUAAGAGCUCGGGAGGAGAGAUGCCAGACAAAAUAUGAAGAAAGACCCGAACGCAGUUAAAAAUGGGACUGAAAAGAAAAACCAAACACAGAUUCUGAAACAGAAGACGUUGAAGGCAAAUGCAAGAUGUUUGGGGAUUUUUAAAUUCUUCAAGUCUUCCAGACGUUAAUUGUAGAUGCUUUGAUUCCCUUGGACUUUUUGUCAGAUGGGAUUUCAAUAUUUAAAGCCGAACUCCCAGCAUCCUUCCUGCUCUCUUCUGGAACUAUCUACAAGGUCCCUUCUGACCUUUAAACUUCUCCAUCUGUUACUUGAUCUUCAAGCCUUAAUUUCCAGUUGAAAGAGGACCUGUCUCCCAUUCUUGAUACACCAGCACCGUCCAGCAGCGCCAUCACUCAGCGCACUAACUGGAUUCUCCAGACUCCAGAGACGGUCUGAGCUCAGGACAGACGAGCCGUCUGAACGGUGAGGGAUUGUUUAGAAAGACAGAACUGGACCGGGCCGACGAAAGGGUGCAGGGGGAGAGGAUCCGGGCCGUGGAAGUCCUGCAGGCAUGGAUGCAACACCAGAAUAAAAAACAGGACGGGAAGUUUCUGCUGUCCCACUGGUACAAUGUGUGCAGGCGUGGCGCCCCCUGGAGGUGGGGAUCAGUGAUAUUAAACAUGCUCCCCCAUGGCCAUCAUCACAGGUGUCAGGCCAUCGCGGAGGAGCCAGAGAACGACCGCGAGGAGAGGAUUCUGGCAAUACUGGGGAUCAUCGGCACCGUGCUCAACCUGCUUGUGGUCAUCUUCGUCUACAUCUACACCACCUUCUAAGAUCUCAAGAGACAGGAUGCCCUCAUCUGAAGAAAUGGCAAUAAAGCAGAGGAGAACAAACUGGCUUCA
ensembl:lncRNA